AACCGGAUCAUUGCGCCGUGGCAGGCGGU
rnacentral:sRNA from 1 species